UACGGGGGGGGCAAGCGUUGUUCGGAAUUACUGGGCGUAAAGGGCUCGUAGGCGGCCAACUAAGUCAGACGUGAAAUCCCCAGGCUUAACUUGGGAACUGCGUCCGAUACUGGGAGGCUUGAGUGCGGGAGAGGGAUGUGGAAUUCCAGGUGUAGCGGUGAAAUGCGUAGAUAUCUGGAGGAACACCGGUGGCGAAGGCGGCAUCCUGGACCGACACUGACGCUGAGGCGCGAAAGCUAGGGGAGCAAACGGG
rnacentral:rRNA from 1 species